UACGAAGGGGGCAAGCGUUGUUCGGAAUUACUGGGCGUAAAGGGCGCGUAGGCGGUGCUCUAAGUCAGGCGUGAAAGCCCUGGGCUCAACCCGGGAAUUGCGCUUGAUACUGGAGCGCUUGAAUCCAGGAGAGGUUGGUGGAAUUCCCAGUGUAGAGGUGAAAUUCGUAGAUAUCGGAAGGAACACCAGUGGCGAAAGCGGCUUCCUGGUCCGACACCGACGUUCAGGCACGAAAGCGUGGGGAGCAAACAGG
rnacentral:rRNA from 1 species